rnacentral:rRNA from 1 species
GAUGAACGCUGGCGGCGUGCUUAACACAUGCAAGUCGAACGGAAAGGCCAGUGCUUGCCCUGGUACUCGAGUGGCGAACGGGUGAGUAACACGUGGGUGAUCUGCCCUGCACUUCGGGAUAAGCCUGGGAAACUGGGUCUAAUACCGGAUAGGACAAUGGUUUGGAUGCCGUUGUGGAAAGUUUUUUCGGUGUGGGAUGAGCUCGCGGCCUAUCAGCUUGUUGGUGGGGUAAUGGCCUACCAAGGCGUCGACGGGUAGCCGGCCUGAGAGGGUGUACGGCCACAUUGGGACUGAGAUACGGCCCAGACUCCUACGGGAGGCAGCAGUGGGGAAUAUUGCACAAUGGGCGCAAGCCUGAUGCAGCGACGCCGCGUGGGGGAUGACGGCCUUCGGGUUGUAAACUCCUUUCGCUAGGGACGAAGCGUAUUUGUGACGGUACCUGGAGAGGAAGCACCGGCUAACUACGUG